UUAUAUCUUCGAAAGUAAAAGAUAAAAAAGAAAACAUAGAGGAUACAAAACUUAAAAAGGGAAAAGAAAAGAAAGAGGGGAAAAAUAGAAUAAAUUUAACUACAUCAUUUUUUUAUUUUUUUUUGUUUGUUAAAAGAUAGCAAGCUUCAUAGUUUUAGUAUUUUAAAACUUUCAAGUAACUUUCAAGUUAUGAAAACAGCUCGAAAUAUAUUUAGAGUGAUGACAAAGAAUAAUUCGAAUCAUUACAUAUAUCAAAACGACAAGUAGUGUGUCGUUUCAGUAAGAAUCGCAUAAAACUUUUGACGGUUUUACCCUACACUCCGCUCACUCUGCUUCGUCUUCCCUCGUCGAUUCAAAAUUCCAAAAUCCGAUCCAGUCCUUAAUACUUAGGGUUUCUCGUCCCCGCCUCCACCAUGAGCUCCGCCACGGUUCUCGACUGCGAUAAUUAUGCUGCUCAAGAGGUUUGUAUUCGUAAUGAAUCUUUGAGGAGAAAACUAGCGGAUAUUAGCAAUUUGGAGGGUCAAGCAAAGCAAACGAACAGAGAAGAGACGCACCAGCAGCAAGAUAUGUAGAAGCCGGAAAACCGGACCGAUGUAAACGAUAUAAUAAAAGUGAAGUUAAGGAAAUAGACGAAUAUAUAAAAACGAAUACGAGGACGAUAAGAAACCGUAUUCGCAAAUAGACAUGGAGGCGAGAUAUGAUCUCUUUCCUUAACUCAAAAUAUUCGCUCCGUUAGUGAGACGGGACUGUACGAAUAUAGAGUCCCAGGAUACAACCAUGGCAGACGAAUCACGCCUCACUCGUGAUCGCCCUAUCGAACUAUAAACUCUACGAAACACUCUCUAGACUUACGUUGAGGGAUCUGGUGAUUUUUUGUUGCGUAAAAACUUCAGGAAAAAUGAAGGAGGAGACGAGUUUAUAAAGAAGAGAAGACGAGCCAUUUUCCGUAACUAAUGCCGCACGUGCUCACGUUGGCGGAAAUCUCGCGAGGAUCUCGGAGGCGAGGCGUUACGAAACUUCCUCCGCAAGAUCUUUCCUCGUUUAAACUUAUCGUCAAGAAGAGAGACAGCGUGUUGGUUUUAAACGAACUACGUGUUGUUUAAAAUAAAAAGCAUGUCGUUUUUCGGGAAUUAAAUGGCAAAAGGUUGAGCUUAACUUGGUCCAAAAAGAAUAUUCUUAUCGGGCCGAGACCCGAGCCCGAGCCCGAGCCCGAGCCGGCCGGACGGCGGCGGCGGCGCGCGCGUGGAGAGCUCUCUCUUCCUCUGAGCUGUUUAACCUCUCAUGUCAUGAAGACAUAUAUAUACUCCUCAAAAUCAACUCUCCCAACCAAUGUGGGAUGUUGUUAACUUCAUUUCAUUAAAGCCAACAAGGCUUUUUGUAAGAACCCAUAGGCCCAUUUCAUUUUCACAUUUUGCCAUAUAUUAUUUGAGCCAUUAGGCUUAAUAAUUAGGCCCAACAAGAUAUACUCUUCUCUUGUAAAGAAUAUGCUGAGAAGCUUGAAAAGGCAUUGCCUUUUGCAUUUUUUAUUUUGGUGCCUUUUGUGGUGGCAGACUGUUAUUUUGUUGAUUCUCGGUUGCUUUAUUGGUCUUUGCAGGAAAACAUGACACUGAUGAAAGCUCUAGCACACAGAAAUAAAAUUAUUGAGGAUCAAACUUACGGAUUGUGCAUGAAAAGAAUUUGCAGCUUUCACAGGCUAAUAGUCAUAUGUUCUCUAUCUUUUUCUGCUUCAGUUUUGAGAUGGUUGAGAUAUUAUUUGAAAUACGAUUACCAUGAUCAAAGUAUGGCUUCAUUUGUCUUUUCUUAUUUAUGGCAGGAACUCAAUACAAACAGAGACAGAGUAGGCAAUCAGCAAAGUGUAAAGCUACAGACACCGAUGGAGCCAUCGAAGAAGUAGUGACAGACCCGUCUAUAAGCAGCAACACAGUCCAAGAGUGUGAUCUUUUACCAUGGACGGUUUCUCCGGGGGACCAUGAAAAAAGAAUCAAAGAACAAGCCUAAAAGCUGAGGAAACCGGAGGAAUGAUGAGAAGAACAUCGAGACAUGCAGCAGAGCGGCGAUGAGACUGCUGAAUCUCCUCUUAGCCUCUAGUUUUUUUUGGGCAACUCUACACUUCUAAUUUAGUGUGUGCAUUAGUCAGACUAAGUGACUAAAUCUGGUACUGUUUUUCAUUUCUUGUUUCUCCGACAUCACAAGUCAACCUUUGAUUCGAUGACAAUCUCUUGUCUUAUUAAAUUAUGAUUUGCAUA